rnacentral:rRNA from 1 species
UACGAAGGGGGCUAGCGUUGCUCGGAAUCACUGGGCGUAAAGCGCACGUAGGCGGGUCUUUAAGUCAGGGAUGAAAUCCUGGAGCUCAACUCCAGAACUGCCUUUGAUACUGAGGAUCUCGAGUCCGGGAGAGGUGAGUGGAACUCCGAGUGUAGAGGUGAAAUUCGUAGAUAUUCGGAAGAACACCAGUGGCGAAGGCGGCUCACUGGCCCGGUACUGACGCUGAGGUGCGAAAGCGUGGGGAGCAAACAGG